rnacentral:rRNA from 1 species
GACGAACGCUGGCGGCGCGCUUAACACAUGCAAGUCGAACGGAAAGGCCUGCUUUCCCUUGUGGAUUGCGGGUACUCGAGUGGCGAACGGGUGAGUAACACGUGAGUGAUCUGCCCCCAACUUGGGUAUAAGCCUGGGAAACUGGGUCUAAUUCCCGAUAGGACUGCAGGGUGGUGCCUGUGGUGGAAAACGAUUUUCUAGUGGUUGGGGAUGAGCUCGCGGCCUAUCAGCUUGUUGGUGGGGUAAUGGCCUACCAAGGCGGCGACGGGUAGCCGGCCUGAGAGGGUGGACGGCCACAUUGGGACUGAGAUACGGCCCAGACUCCGACGGGAGGCAGCAGUGGGGAAUAUUGCACGAUGGGCGGAAGCCUGAUGCAGCGACGCCGCGUGGGGGAUGACGGCCUUCGGGUUGUAAACUCCUUUCGACCGCGAGGAAGCCACCUGGUUGGAAGGGUGGUGACGGUAGUGGUAGAAGAAGCACCGGCUAACUACGUG